rnacentral:rRNA from 1 species
CCUACGGGAGGCAGCAGUCGAGAAUCAUUCACAAUGGGGGAAACCCUGAUGGUGCGACGCCGCGUGGGGGAAUGAAGGUCUUCGGAUUGUAAACCCCUGUCAUGUGGGAGCAAAUUAAAAAGAUAGUACCACAAGAGGAAGAGACGGCUAACUCUGUGCCAGCAGCCGCGGUAAUACAGAGGUCUCAAGCGUUGUUCGGAAUCACUGGGCGUAAAGCGUGCGUAGGCUGUUUCGUAAGUCGUGUGUGAAAGGCGCGGGCUCAACUCGCGGACGGCACAUGAUACUGCGAGACUAGAGUAGUGGAGGGGGAACCGGAAUUCUCGGUGUAGCAGUGAAAUGCGUAGAUAUCGAGAGGAACACUCGUGGCGAAGGCGGGUUCCUGGACAUUAACUGACGCUGAGGCACGAAGGCCAGGGGAGCGAAAGGGAUUAGAUACCCGGGUAGUC